GUUGCUCAACAAUAGCAGCAGCUUUGUAUAUAUAGCACCUUUGUAAUGAGCUUCAGUAUCCAUCUUCUGUGACUUUGUUUCAUCACUCAGACAUCUACCAGAGACAACCAUGUCAGCAAAGGGACAAGGCAAAAACCCAUGUUGCCCACCACCUGUUUGCCAGGACCAAACACCAAAAUGCAUCAUAGUUGACCCAUGUGCUCCAUGUCCAAAAGUUCAAUGUCCACCACCGCCUUGUUGCCCAGAUCCAUGCCAGCAGGGUGGUUAUGGACAAGGCUACGGUGGUCAAGGAGGAUAUGGGUACGGAGGUAACAUGAAGUGAAGAAACUUUGCUGUACCAUUCAAAACUUCCAAAUUAAAUCAUGGAAUCAACUAUGCAUUGCAGUCUGUUCUACUGUCUAUAUCUAAGCAAAAUGUUUAACAGUCCUUGAAAAUGUUCUGUUUAACUUUAAUAAAUGUAUUCUCCUGAUUAAGUUA